GAUGAACGCUGGCGGCGUGCCUAAUACAUGCAAGCCGAGCGAACGGACGAGAAGCUUGCUUCUCUGAUGUUAGCGGCGGACGGGUGAGUAACACGUGGAUAACCUACCUAUAAGACUGGGAUAACUUCGGGAAACCGGAGCUAAUACCGGAUGAUAUUUUGAACCGCAUGGUUCAAAAGUGAAAGACGGUCUUGCUGUCACUUAUAGAUGGAUCCGCGCUGCAUUAGCUAGUUGGUAAGGUAACGGCUUACCAAGGCAACGAGGCAUAGCCGACCUGAGAGGGUGGUCGGCCACACUGGAACUGAGCCACGGUCCAGGCUCCUGCGGGAGGCAGCAGUAUGGAAUCUUCCGCAGUGGGCGAAAGCCUGACGGAGCAACGCCGCGUGAGUGAUGAAGGUCUUCGGAUCGUAAAACUCUGUUAUUAGGGAAGAACAUAUGUGUAAGUAACUGUGCACAUCUUGACGGUACCUAAUCAGAAAGCCACGGCUAACUACGUG
rnacentral:rRNA from 1 species